AACGAACGCUGGCGGCAGGCUUAACACAUGCAAGUCGAGCGCCCCGCAAGGGGAGCGGCAGACGGGUGAGUAACGCGUGGGAAUCUACCCAUCUCUACGGAAUAACGCAUGGAAACGUGUGCUAAUACCGUACACGUCCUUCGGGAGAACGAUUUAUCGGAGAUGGAUGAGCCCGCGUUGGAUUAGCUAGUUGGGGGGGUAAAGGCCUACCAAGGCGACGAUCCAUAGCGGGUCUGGGAGGAUGAUCAGCUACACUGGGACUGAGAAACGGCCCAGACUCCGACGGGAGGCAGCAGUGGGGAAUAUUGGACAAUGGGCGAAAGCCUGGUCCAGCCGUGCCGCGUGAGUGAUGGAGGCCCUAGGGGUGUACAGCUCUUUCACCGGUGAAGAUAAUGACGGUAACCGGAGAAGAAGCCCCGGCUAACUUCGUGCCAGCCGCCGCCGUAAAAC
rnacentral:rRNA from 1 species